AUGAAAAAAGUGUUCUCAAUGUUAAUGUACUCGUCAUGCACAGGGCAGUGGGAGGACCAAGAGUUCACGCCUGGACUUUGUGCGCCGCGGCACCUCUACGACAUGGUUGGUAGAACGCCUGAGAGCUACAGAGGUCUAUUUCAUUCAUCUAAUUACUGGCGUGGGUCUGUCUACAUGCAUUGCCAAAAUAGCGUCCUCGUGAUCCUACGCCCCUCGAAGAGAACUUAUGACAUGGUCCAGCUUCCAGGGGAACCCUGCGGUCCAAAAAGCUGGUGGUCGCUGCCCAAAAAUUCGGUCUUAGCAAGCUAUGAGAGAGGGGUACAUUAUGUGGCGACUAAGAAUUCACAGCUUCGUGUAUGGAUGCUAUCUGAACUGACCGAUGGACAACUAGGUUGGACAUUAUCACAUGACGCCAGCGUCAACCUGCAUGUCCAUAUGAUUCCCACACUUAAAUUACAGCCGAAGGUGACAUGGAGGAUUGUUGGAAGCAGCGGUGGACCAGUCAGCUUGACCGACAAUGAUGCGCAGGAGGACUGGGCCACACCGUAUUACUCUGAGCAUUCCUGGAACUCGGAUGAGGAUAACUUCAUCGACAUGGUUGGAGGCGCCGACCACCAUGAGUUGGUAGAACGGGGUUCCUACUGCAGUAUCAUGGGAUUCCAUCCACACAAGAAUGUCCUCAUCCUCGUUCUUAGCGGAGCGGUGGUAGUGUACUAUCUCGACACGUCGAGGAUGCAGUAUCUAGGAGACGCAGAGGAGCUCGAUAAAGACCACACGCAACAAGCUUGCUGUGUCGAGAAUUCGUUCAUUUACCAACCUUGCUAUAACGACAUGCUACCAACAGGGAAAUUAUCGAUGCCGCCACAAAAUGAUAUACGAUCCAAUUGUACAUAG
rnacentral:rRNA from 1 species